UUUCCUUUAGCUUAAGCUAAAGCAUUAGUUUGAAGCACUGAAGUUAACUAACAAGUUAGGGAAGG
rnacentral:tRNA from 4 species